rnacentral:lncRNA from 1 species
UAACACUGAAAAUUGUUGUUUAAUAUCACAAAGCAUUAAAACUAUGCUUAGUCCUCAUUUGUUCACUAUUAAUGAAGGUCUAAAUCUUAAACAUUCAUAUAUCAGACAUUAAGAGUGUUUAUUUUUUAGGUCUGAAUUAUAAUCAUUAGAUCUCAAUCAUUAAGUGGUAAUAACAACUACUUCCCAGUAUAGUCGUGAGGUAUGGGGAGGGUAUUAUAUAGGCAAGUCUUACCC